UACAGAGGGUGCAAGCGUUUAAUCGGAAUUACUGGGCGUAAAAGCGCGCGUAGGUGGUUCGUUAAGUUGGAUGUGAAAUCCCCGGGCUCAACCUGGGAACUGCAUUCAAACUAGUCGUGAGCUAGAGUAUGGUAGAGGGUGGUGGAAUUUCCUGUGUAGCGGUGAAAUGCGUAGAUAUAGGAAGGAACACCAGUGGCGAAGGCGACCACCUGGGACUGAUACUGACACUGAGGUGCGAAAGCGUGGGGGAGCAAACAGGG
rnacentral:rRNA from 1 species